UAGAAUAGAGUGCACUGCUUAAUACUAUAAUAUCAUUUAUGUCAUCAUAACAGGACUGGCAUAUUAAACAAAGGGCUACGCAAGAUCAAUGUAACUUGGUAAGGACGCUCGAAACCAACUCGGAUCCUGGCUGAAUAGUAUUACAAAAUGGCACUCCAUGAAGCGUUUUAAACUGGGUCUCUGCUGUUCCGAUAACCCGAAUAAUUGAGCUUGUCAAGUUCGUUCCCAGAUAACGCAUUAUUUUCCAUACGAAUCAUACAUUCAGAAGCAGGACUAGCUGCAGCGAUAGUAAGGAGCCCGCGAACGUCUGAUCAAGUUUCUCGUUGUAUUACGAGAAAGGAAUUUUCUGUUACCGACGAUUGUAUCAACAAGGAAACGUAAUGGUUACCAACGAUCCCAUAUUAGACCCGUAAGACAGUAAGGAAAACGGAGUCGUCUGUUUAUUUUAACUAGAACUGAAGUGCUUUAGACUUCUUUGUAUGGAGGAUCCAUCUAUUGCGUUAUGACGGUGACUGCAGCCGGUCGCCGUUUGGCACAGGUUAUUGAAAAAGUUGAGAGGCAGCGACAAUAGGAUCAAGAAAAAAAAAAAAAACCAAAAUCGAACCUGAGUCGACCAAUCAAACUGAUUUGGAAUUACA